AUUGAACGCUGGCGGCAGGCCUAACACAUGCAAGUCGAGCGGAUGAGAAGAGCUUGCUCUUCGAUUCAGCGGCGGACGGGUGAGUAAUGCCUAGGAAUCUGCCUGGUAGUGGGGGACAACGUUUCGAAAGGAACGCUAAUACCGCAUACGUCCUACGGGAGAAAGCAGGGGACCUUCGGGCCUUGCGCUAUCAGAUGAGCCUAGGUCGGAUUAGCUAGUUGGUGAGGUAAUGGCUCACCAAGACGACGAUCCGUAACUGGUCUGAGAGGAUGAUCAAUCACACUGGAACAGAGACACGGUCCAGACUCCUACGGGAGGCAGCAGUGGGGAAUAUUGGACAAUGGGCGAAAGCCUGAUCCAGCCAUGCCGCGUGUGUGAAGAAGGUCUUCGGAUUGCAAAGCACUUUAAGUUGGGAGGAAGGGCAGUAAGCUAAUACCUUGCUGUUUUGACGUUACCGACAGAAUAAGCACCGGCUAACUCUGUGCCAGCCGCCGCAGUAAAAC
rnacentral:rRNA from 1 species